rnacentral:lncRNA from 1 species
AAGAAAAAAUAGAAUUUAUCUUGUUAAAAUACUCUUUAUCGAAGGCCUUAAACAAUUUUUAUUGAAUGAUAAUUAGUUUCAGAAUUAAUAUAAAGAAUUUUAACUAUUUAUGAUGUCAACAAUUAUAAUUAUAGAGGAAUAAUAAAGAUUAAAUGAAAUUCCAAUCAACAGGCAUGAAUUCAAUGAUUAUGGAUCAUCAACCUUCACACUCUCGCC